rnacentral:rRNA from 1 species
GAUGAACGCUAGCUACAGGCUUAACACAUGCAAGUCGCGGGGCAGCAUGGGGGUUGCUUGCAAUCCCCGAUGGCGACCGGCGCACGGGUGAGUAACGCGUAUCCAACCUGCCCUUCACCACGGGAUAACCCGGCGAAAGUCGGACUAAUACCGUAUGUUGCCCAUUGACGGCAUCCGAUUUGGACGAAAGGUUUGGCGGUGAAGGAUGGGGAUGCGUCCGAUUAGCUGGACGGCGGGGUGACGGCCCACCGUGGCGACGAUCGGUAGGGGUUCUGAGAGGAAGGUCCCCCACACUGGAACUGAGACACGGUCCAGACUCCUACGGGAGGCAGCAGUGAGGAAUAUUGGUCAAUGGGCGUAAGCCUGAACCAGCCAAGUAGCGUGCAGGAUGACGGCCCUAUGGGUCGUAAACUGCUUUUAUGCGUGGAUAAAGUGGCCCACGUGUGGGUUUUUGCAGGUACCGCAUGAAUAAGGACCGGCUAAUUCCGUG